AUUUGUGACAGGCAAUUGCCAGCUUGUGGAUUAUUUCAGUGAUUGGUAGUUGGUCAGAUCUUCUAACAUUAUUUUACAUAUGCUUUCUCUUGCUACAUAGUGUACCUAUUCUAUAUGAAAAACAUGAAGAUCGUGUAAACCCUCUUGCUGAGAAGGCAAUGAUUGAGCUCCAGAAGCAAUAUGCAGUUUUUGAUGCCAAGGUGCUAAGUAAAAUCCCCAAAGGUCC